AUGGCAAUGCCCUCCAGCUCCCUGCUGGCUCCUGUGACCUGCACACAGCAGUACCCCAGACUGGCAGUACUACCCUCGACAGUGGCAGCACCACUGCUGACAGUGGCAGCAGCUCCAGAGUUCCUCCCACUGGGAUUUAAACUUAAGACACUACGAGAAGUUCUUCACCGAGUUGCCACAGUUUCCUGCUUCAACAGUGCUUGGACGGAAACGGCGCUCAUCCCCCAUCCCAGCUGGCUGCUCACAGCCAGCCUUCUGACACCUCCUCACCACACCCUCAGACAGUCCCAAGGCCCCCGGUGCCACUCCAGCACCGCACAGCUACCACCUCUCCUCAGCCACUGCCAUGACUACCACAUCCCCCUUGCAGGUGCGCCAGAACUACCACCAGGACUGGGAGGCCGCCAUCAACUGCCAGAUCAACCUGGAGCUCUACACCUCCUGCGUCUACCUGUCCAUGUCUUACUACUUUGACUGCGAUGAUGUGGCUUUGAAGAAUUUUGCCAAAUACUUUCUUCACCAAUCUCAUGAGAAACUGAUGAAGCUGCAGAAUUAACAAGGUGGCCGAAUCUUCCUUCAGGAUAUCAAAAAAACAGACUGUGAUGACUGGGUGAGUGGGCUGAAUGCAAUGGAGUGUGUGUUACACUUGGAAAAAAGUGUGAAUCAGUCACUACUGGAACUGUACAAACUGGCCACUGACAAAAAUGAUCCCCACUUGUGUCACUUCAUUGAGAAACAUUACCUGAAUGAGCAGGUGAAAUCCAUCAAAGAACUGGGUGACCACGUAACCUACCUGUGCAAGAUAGGAGUCCCUGAAUCUGGCAUCGCAGAGUAUCUCUUUGACAAGCACACCCUGGGAAACAGUGAUAAUGAGAGCUAAGCCUUAGGCUAACUUCCCCAUAGUCACGGGGUGACUUCCAUGAUCACCAAGGCAGUGCAUGCAUGUUGGGGUUUCCUUUACCUUUUCUAUAAGUUGUACCAGAACAUCCACUUAAAUUCUUUCAUUUGUACCAUUCCUUCAAAUAAAGAAAUUUGGUACCC